ensembl:lncRNA
AUACUUAAAAUGGCGGUCCUAGGCGCUCAGCGUGCUCAAUAUGGUCCCUUCCGUGUUCAUCUACCUCAAAAUGGCUGCCCCUGCUGUCGCCAACUGGAUUCCCACUCCUGCCCACUCUGGAGGCUGGAGGCCGACGUCCACUCGAUUCAGGUGAAGGCGUGCGGCGGCUAUAAGCCAAGGAUUAAGGGACAAGGGGACCCCAGCAAGCACGCGGGCAGUAGGCAUAGGUUUCCACAGUCUGCCUAACAGACGGUCCCGUUGGAGCGGAAACGUGUGAGGACAACGCCCGGCGCCGUGUAUUUCAGCGCGCUGCUUCUCGGUCGCCUCCCUAGGGGUUGGUUAAGCCCCAAAUUGUUCAGUCUGGGCUUCCUGGCUAGGGGUCCAAUCGGAGCUGUAGCCGUCACAGCAAGGCAGGAUCCAAGCCUCAUCUGCAACCUACGCCACAGUUCAUGGCAACAUCAGAUCCUUAACCCACUGAACGAGGCCAGGGAUUGAACCUUCAUCCUCAUGGAUGCUAGUCAGGUUCAUUAAUGCUAAGCCAUGACGGGAACUCCAAAGCAAGUCUGUUUUUGUUUAGUUUUUUCUUUUUAUGGCCACACCUGUAGCACAUGGAUGGAAGUUCCUGGGCCAGGGGUUGAAUUGGAACUGCAGCUGCAGGCCUGUGCCACAGCCAUGCCGGAUCUGAGCUGCAUCUGUGAUAUGACCUAUAUCACAGCUUGCGGCAAUUCUGGAUCUUUAACCCACUGAGCAAGGUCAGGGAUGAAACCUGCAUUCUCACAGACACUGUCAGGUUCUUAACUUGCUAAGACACAACGGGAACUCCAAGUCUGCUUUAAUCUCUGCAUCCUGUCAGUGUCUGGCAUAUAGCAGACAUUCAAAUACCUGAUGAUUGAAGUUCCCUUUGUGGCACAGCAGAAAUGAAUCCGACUAGGAACCAUGAGGUUGCGGGUUCGAUCCCUGGCCUCGCUCAGUGGGUUAAAAAUCUGGCGUUGCCAUGAGCUGUGUGUGGUGUAAGUCAUAGAUGCAGCUUGGAUACUGUGCUGCUGUGGCUGUGGUGUAGGCUGGCAGCUGUAGCUCCAAUUUGACCCCUAGCCUGGGAACCUCCAUAUGCCGCAGGUGCAGCCCUAAAAAGCAAAAUAAAUUAAUAAACAAAUACCUGACAAAUGGAUUGUUCUAUACACGCUUAAAUAGCAGACAGCAUAAACGGCACUAAAAGAAACUUUUGCUUUUCCUACAGUAUCAGUGUUGGGCAAAUGCCAGAGGAGUUAAGUGAAAAUUUCCACAUUAGUUCAGACAUGGUAAAAAGCCACAAGUGCUCAAUAAAUGCAGUCUUUUGUGUGUGUGUGUGGCAUAUAGAGUUCCUGGGCCAGGGAUCAGAUCUGAGCCACAGUAGUGACCUAAGCUGUGGCAACGCUAGAUCCUUAACCCACUGUGCCGCGCCAGGGAUCAAACCUGCAUCCCAGUGCUCUCAAGAUGCCAUCAAUCCCCCUGCACCAUGGCAGCAACUCCACAUGUAAUCUUGACAUUAGGUUAUUUUUUAAGGAAAAGCAGCCUCUGGAGUUCCCACCAUGGUGUAGUGGGUUAGGAAUCUCACUGCGGCAGCUCAGGUUGCUGUGUUGGUGUGGGUUUGAUCCCUGGCCUGGUGUGGUGGGUUGAAGGAUCUGGUGUUGCCUCAGCUACAUCUAGGGUCUCAGCUGUAGCUCAGAUGCAGGCCCUGGUAUGGGAGGUUCUACAUUCUGCAGGUGCAGCCAUGAUAUUAAAAAAACAAACAAAACAAAACAAAACAAAAAGCCUCUGCUCAAUUUUUCUGCACAAUUUUCAUACUCAUCAGAUUAGAGGUGAAUGGCUGAAACCUUAGUUGGGGGAAAAGGGGAGCUUAAAGUUGACUAGAGACAAGGCAUGAGCUAUAAAUAACCAUUUAAAAUGAUUAGCUGUAACACUGAGUAACUUUCAGUAUCCUCGAGAAUGGGCAGACCCUGAAAAUCGAGGAUAGCCUUUGGGCCCAAAGCUCUAAGUCCGUGGGGUAGGAAUCUGUGUCAUACACAAAGGCGGUAACAAGAGUCGUAACUAGAUCUGUAUCACCCCUGCUUCAGAACAUUAGAUGUCAGGAGCCUGUGGCACCCCGGCCUUAGUAAGCCCCUGUUUAUUAGAAAUUACAGUCACCAUCAGUUAGGUGCUAGUGAUACAAGAGUGCUUUUGUUAAAGUUACUCUUUCAUUCUACAGAUUCCCUAGGAAAGAAUCCCUAUUAAACAUCUUUUGUUGAAUAAGUGGGCCUUUCCUCCUAAGCGGUCAUUACUUACAGGUAAACUUUUUUGGCUCCUAAUUGGAGCCCUAUAUUCAGUCAUCCCACUGGUUUUAGUAUAAGCCAAAUACACACAGGUCAUGUGUUGUAAUUUACUUUUCUUCUACUCCAAUGGCUCAAGCUCUUAGUAGUAAGCCCUUAAGAAAGCCGACAACCCCUGUGUGAAGGUAUGGCUGGUUCCCAAGUGAAAACAUGGCAGGAUAGGAAGGGAAUUAACAGCCAUGAAAGAGGAGAGCCUCGCUGGAUGGAACCAAGUACAAUGUGAGGAGCAGCAUCGGAAAUAAAUAGAUAAAGCCCCCAAUGACACACUCCACCCAGUCAGUGCAGCCACAGAAAUAGGGUGAAUUCAGUUCAAAUGGUUAUUUAUUCUAAAACUGGAAGCUACUGUGCCUACAUUUUGCCAGAAUGUUGUAAUGAGAACAGGGGAAGAAGAAAGAGUUACAGAUGUAAACAAUGACACAGUUACAUUUUUUUUUUUUAAAUGGUAAAACCCUUUUUACUGGCCACUUCCAAGAAUGCUUUACAGGUUGUGCAAAAACAUUUACAGGCUCCAUGUGGUGUUUGUUUUUCUCACAAGCUUUUCCAUCUACAAGAAAGAACUACAACAGACGUCUGAUAAAACACUAAACAAGUCUUCUAAGGAAAACAAGGCUAGGGAUCCCCUCUUGUUAAUCCAUACUUUCCCCCUUAACAUUGUUUUUUUCAAAAUAAAAAGACAGACAGAAACAAAAC